rnacentral:rRNA from 1 species
CAGCCGCCACGGUAAUACGAAGGGUGCAAGCGUCAAUCGGAAUUACUGGGCGUAAAGCGUGCGUAGGCGGUGAGUUAAGUCUGCUGUGAAAUCCCCGGGCUCAACCUGGGAAUGGCAGUGGAUACUGGCUCGCUAGAGUGUGUCAGAGGAUGGUGGAAUUCCCGGUGUAGCGGUGAAAUGCGUAGAGAUCGGGAGGAACAUCAGUGGCGAAGGCGGCCAUCUGGGACAACACUGACGCUGAGGCACGAAAGCGUGGGGAGCAAACAGGAUUAGAUACCCCUGUAGUCCCUGUCUCUUAUAC